rnacentral:rRNA from 1 species
CGAGCGGUAACAUUUCUAGCUUGCUAGAAGAUGACGAGCGGCGGACGGGUGAGUAAUGCUUGGGAACAUGCCUUGAGGUGGGGGACAACAGUUGGAAACGACUGCUAAUACCGCAUAAUGUCUACGGACCAAAGGGGGCUUCGGCUCUCGCCUUUAGAUUGGCCCAAGUGGGAUUAGCUAGUUGGUGAGGUAAUGGCUCACCAAGGCGACGAUCCCUAUCUGGUUUGAGAGGAUGAUCAGCCACACUGGGACUGAGACACGGCCCAGACUCCUACCGGAGGCACCAGUGGGGAAUAUUGCACAAUGGGCGCAAGCCUGAUGCAGCCAUGCCGCGUGUGUGAAGAAGGCCUUCGGGUUGUAAAGCACUUUCAGUCAGGAGGAAAGGUUAGUANUUAAUACCUGCUAGCUGUG